rnacentral:lncRNA from 1 species
CACUAGAAUAUAAAUUCAAAGACCAUAUGUUUUGAUCACUUUCUGUUUCCUGACUUCAGCAUAGUAACUGGCACAUGACAGACAAUAAAUAUUUGUAGAAUGAAUGUAUAACAUGCUAAGAUAGAAGUAUAAUUUUAAUUCUAUUUAGGAAAGGGAUGUGAAUAAGGCAACCCUCACAAAUAACAACAAAUUUGAUAAAAAAAGAAAUUGGUGCCCUUUAACAAGUUAAAUAAAUCAAAGAUUUUUUAAAAAAAUUAUUUAUUUUUAGUUGUUGAUGGACCUUUAUUUUUUAUUUAUAUGUGGUGUUGAGAAUUGAACCCAGUGACUCACGUAUUCAAGGCAAGCUCUCUACCACUGAGCCACAACUCCAGCCCUCAAAGAUUCUUUUUUUAACCUUAGAAAACUCAUAUAUGGGAAUAUGGAUUGGUGGUAGAGCUCUUUCUUUGCAGGUAUGAGGCACUGGGUUCAAGCCUCAGCACCAUAUAAAAAAUAAAUUAAUAAACAAAGAUAUUGUGUGUCCAUCUACAACUAAAAAAAUGUUUUGUUUUUUUUUAAAAAAGAAAACUCAUAUCUCUAGCUCGGUGAGAUGGCACAUGCCUAUAAUCCCAGCUAUUCAAGAGGCUGAGACAGGAAUAUCACUUGGGCAAUUAGCAAGAUCCUAUCUCAAACAAAAAAUUGAAAGGAUUGGGAAUAUACCUAAGUGAGAGAGGAUCCCUGAAUAGAAUUAACAGGAAGAAGGAGAAGAUGACAAUGACUCUGUAUCUACCUUCCAGCAAGGAGGCAACCUUGUUUUUAAACUUCAGUAAGGAACCUCUGGCAUGUACACUCUCCUCUUUUUUUUUUUUUCUCAGAUUCAUUUUAUACAUAGGGUGGCCAUAUAAUUUAUUUGCCCAAACUGGAAACUCUUGAGAAAGAAAGGCAAGAUACUGAAUAUAUAAGUGAAUAAAAGCCAGACCAUAUGUAAAAACAGAAUUCAGACUCACAAUCUGCAGUAGCCAUCCCAGCAAACCAACCUGUUAUCUAUAGUAACCAGCCCGCAAAGCCAAACUACUAUCAGACAUGUUGAAGUCAGACCACUAUCACUGGUAACAGGCCAAACGGUAUCCCUUAUAUCCAUUGGCCCAAAAGGGCCUAGACUCCAUUAAUAACUGAUAGUUUCCUUAAUUUUUGUCCCUGUUCCAAACAUAUGAGCAAGUAUUUAUCUCUAACCAAAAAUCUAGGGUGUCUUGCUUCUAGUUAACCAUAUCUAGCCAAUAUUCUUCAACUACAGACACCUGAAAACGUUCAUUUUCUCCCUAUAAAGCAUUCCCACUUCUCUGCCUGCUUUUGAGUCACUGCCAAAAUCCAAGUGAUGAUAACUGACUUUAUUACUAUAGAAAAUAGUCUUAUGGGGGAAAGCAGAACAAUUAUAAUUUUAACUUUUCUAUCUGUGCCUGUUCCCAUCAGGUUGUUUUUCAUUUAUUUCUACAGAGUAUACUACUAAUAAUUAUGCUGGGAGUAAAAUAAGGCAAAAAUCAGGACUUUACUGAGAAAAUUGGGACAUAGAUCAUCCUAAUUAUAAAAUACAAGUAAACAAAAGUCAGUUUGCUAGUAAUUACAAAGUUUAGAAGUAUGAAUAGAAGGUGAAAUGUGCCACUACCACUAGGUGGGGUUGCACUAUUAAAGAACCAACACCAUUUCAAUAAUUGUAGUAAGUGAGGUGUAUAGGUUACAAUUCAAUCACCUUUCUGGUUUAGAUGUAUGGUACUGUAAAUCUGAACAUUGAAAAUAAUGUGAAAUUAUCUUCAGGGCAAUAAUUGCUAGAAAUAAUUUCAAUAUUAAAUGUUAAAGCAUUUUAUUGUUGGUAUCUCUUAUUAUUUAUUGAUACCAGGGAUUGAACCCAGGAGCACUUAAACUAUACAGCCACAUCCCAGUCCUUUGUAUUUUUUUGGUGGGGUAGGUACUGGGGAUUGAACUCAGGGACGCUUGACAAGAGCCUUAUUUUGUAUCUUACUUAGAGACAGGGUCUCACUCAGUUGCUAAGCCUUUGCUGAAGCUGGCUUUGAACUUGCGAUUUUCCUGCCUCAGCCUCCUGAGCUGCUGGGAUUAUAGGCAUGAGCCACUGCACCCAGCUAAUCCUUUCUAUUUUUUGAGAUAGAGUCUCACUAAGUUGCUGAGGCUGGCUUUGAACUUGUGCGCCUCCUGCUUCAGCCUCUGUUGGGGCAGGUCCCAAAUGUCCACAGCUAAGUUCCUUUGCUGAGAUUGUGUUAUGUUUUUAACGUGUGAUUGAAGCCAUGAAUUCGCCAUGUUAUGGUCAGUGUGUAGUAAUGUAAUGAACACCAGGAUUCCACAUAUGUACUCAAGGUUAUAAAUGUUUGCUUUCGAGCAUAUGCCCACUUACGUAACCUGUUGGCACUGUGCCUCCUUUGUUUGGCCUGCAUAUAAAAGAGACCUGUGGAAAUGGCUGGGGAUUGGCUAUGGGCUAUUGCUGCCUCUGAAU